CAGAGGAGGAGGAGGAGGAGGACGGGAAACAAGGGCAGAGAGGGAAACAGGAACAGAAAGUGAAGACUUGUCAAGAUGUCUGGGUGAGGGGGACCAGAACUGAGCAGAAACCAGAUGCCAAAACAGAAACAACAGAAGUUUGAGCAGCUGACUGGAUUAGACAGGAGGGGAGAGCUGACCUGCCACUUCACAUGUGCCUGCGGGACACACCCACAUUUAACCACCUCGCUGUGAAACCAAACUGAAAGCCAGAGGACGAGAAGACAAGAGAAGACUCUGGAA